UUUUAUAGUUAAACCCCUUCGAAAGUUGCUAUUUAGGUGAGGUUUUCUAGUUAGAUAUUUGUUUUAUAGGUUUUGUCAAUUUGAUCUUUAAUAUUGAAAAAUUGAUUUUAUUGGACUUCUACCAUUAAAUUGUCUUAACGAGAUUAAGUUUUUUAUGAUCUGAUACGUUUAUGGGGUAAGUUUUUUAUACGUGGCACAUUCAAGCAAAUUACAUGGAAUGUAAAAUAAAAAAAAUAAAGUUUCUGAUAAUUGAAACCCAAAUUAGGGUUCAUCUUCAACCUCCCUUCAUCGUCUUCAACCCCCCUUCACCAUCUUCAACUUUAGCGAUUGAUGCUCAGAGUUCAUCACCAAAUUAGGGUUUAUCACCAAAUUUGUGAAGAAGGAUUUCUCUACGAUUUGGGAAUUUCUUUGUAAUUAGGGUUCAUCGUUUCAGUGGUGCUUUAUGCAAAUUGGGGCUGGCGCUUUGGUUCGAUGGUGUUCGCGAUUUAGGGUGGCUAUUGUUUUUAGGAUUUUCUGAUUGUAGGUUUGGUGGCUCUAUGGAAGUUGGGUUCGAGGAAGACGAAGACACGAGGGGUUUCGUAGUGUUCACGCAUGGAAGUCGCGAGAUUGGCGUUCUCUGGGUUUUCUCUUUUUUUUUUAGUUCUCCUCUUCUUUGCAAGUGUGAGGCGAUUGAUGAAGGAGGAAAAGAGGAACCUAGGUUUCUCGCAAUUCUAGGUUUUGCUACGGUUGAAGGUGGAGCGAUUGCAACGAUGUGGUUGAUUAUGAAGUUCUUGCACUUGGUUUCUGAGUGUGUUUGCAGGUCACGAUGCUGCAAGGGAGGCGCUGGUUGAGCGACAACGGAGACGAACUCGCAGUGGUGAUGGUGGCGGAUGAUGGGCUUCUGCGAUGCAAAAGAUUACAAAAACUCGAAGUUCUCUGGUUCAAUUGGUGCUUUCAGAUAAAUGCAAAUGAUUUCUGCAGAAGAUUGGCCAUGAAGGGUGUAACUAAACUGCAAAAUUUUGGAUCAGUUUUCAAUAUUUUAAUACAUGUUUUCAGGAAUAAGGAGAUCCCACAAAAUUUGAUUUACUCA